rnacentral:rRNA from 1 species
UGGGGAAUAUUGCACAAUGGGCGCAAGCCUGAUGCAGCCAUGCCGCGUGUAUGAAGAAGGCCUUCGGGUUGUAAAGUACUUUCAGAGGGGAGGAAGGCGAUGUGGUUAAUAACCGCGUCGAUUGACGUUACCCGCAGAAGAAGCACCGGCUAACUCCGUGCCAGCAGCCGCGGUAAUACGGAGGGGGCAAGCGUUAAUCGGAAUUACUGGGCGUAAAGCGCACGCAGGCGGUCUGUCAAGUCGGAUGUGAAAUCCCCGGGCUCAACCUGGGAACUGCAUCCGAAACUGGCAGGCUUGAGUCUCGUAGAGGGGGGUAGAAUUCCAGGUGUAGCGGUGAAAUGCGUAGAGAUCUGGAGGAAUACCGGUGGCGAAGGCGGCCCCCUGGACGAAGACUGACGCUCAGGUGCGAAAGCGUGGGGAGCAAACA